rnacentral:rRNA from 1 species
AACUAACGCUGGCGGCGUGCCUAACACAUGCAAGUCGUACGAGAAAGUCGGCUUCGGCUGAUGAGUAAAGUGGCGCACGGGUGAGUAACGCGUGGAUAAUCUGCCCUUGAGUGUGGAAUAACGUACCGAAAGGUGCGCUAAUACCGCAUAAUGCCUGGCAACACAAGUUGUCCGGCCAAAGAAGGCCUCUGUUUACAAGCUUUUGCUCAAGGAUGAGUCCGCGUACCAUUAGCUAGUUGGUGGGGUAACGGCCUACCAAGGCUACGAUGGUUAGCUGGUCUGAGAGGAUGAUCAGCCACACUGGAACUGAGACACGGUCCAGACUCCUACGGGAGGCAGCAGUGAGGAAUAUUGCGCAAUGGGGGCAACCCUGACGCAGCAACGCCGCGUGAGUGAGGAAGGUUUUCGGACUGUAAAAGCUCUGUCGAGGGGAAGGAAAAUGUACCAUGGCUAAUAUCCAAUGAUAUUUGACGGUACCGCUAGAGG